GUCUUGGGCGACAAGGGGAAACCCCUGCGCCUCAAUUUCACCGGCUGGCCGUCGCCCGUCUUAGCGUUGCAACACUUAGAUCGCUAGGAUGCGUGUAUAUAAGCCAUGCUGUAAGGAUCUCCGGGAGGAGACAUCGGAAUUUCAAUCGAAAUUCGAACAAGGUUGACCUCGGAUCGGGUAGGAAUACCCGCUGAACUUAA
rnacentral:misc_RNA from 1 species